rnacentral:rRNA from 1 species
GACGAACGCUGGCGGCGUGCUUAACACAUGCAAGUCGAACGGAAAGGCCUGCUUUCCCUUGUGGAUUGCGGGUACUCGAGUGGCGAACGGGUGAGUAACACGUGAGUGAUCUGCCCCCAACUUGGGUAUAAGCCUGGGAAACUGGGUCUAAUUCCCGAUAGGACUGCAGGGUGGUGCCUGUGGUGGAAAACGAUUUUCUAGUGGUUGGGGAUGAGCUCGCGGCCUAUCAGCUUGUUGGUGGGGUAAUGGCCUACCAAGGCGGCGACGGGUAGCCGGCCUGAGAGGGUGGACGGCCACAUUGGGACUGAGAUACGGCCCAGACUCCUACGGAAGGCAGCAGUGGGGAAUAUUGCACAAUGGGCGGAAGCCUGAUGCAGCGACGCCGCGUGGGGGAUGACGGCCUUCGGGUUGUAAACUCCUUUCGACCGCGAGGAAGCCACCUGGUUGGAAGGGUGGUGACGGUAGUGGUAGAAGAAGCACCGGCUAACUACGUG